rnacentral:rRNA from 1 species
AGCAGCCGCGGUAAUUCCAGCUCCAAUAGCGUAUAUUAAAGUUGUUGCAGUUAAAAAGCUCGUAGUUGAACUUCGGAAUUUAUUCAUUGGUCAGGCUUAACUGUCUGUACUGGUGUGUUGAAUUCCUACCUUCUGACGAAUCUCCAUGUCAUUCAUUUGGUGUGGUGGGGAAUCAGGACUGUUACUUUGAAAAAAUUAGAGUGUUUAAAGCAGGCUAACGUCUGAAUACAUUAGCAUGGAAUAAUAAAAUAGGACGGUUUGGUUCUAUUUUGUUGGUUUCUAGGAUCACCGUAAUGAUUAAUAGGGAUAGUUGGGGGCAUUAGUAUUCAAUUGUCAGAGGUGAAAUUCUUGGAUUUAUUGAAGACUAACUACUGCGAAAGCAUUUGCCAAGGAUGUUUUCAUUAAUCAAGAACGAAAGUUAGGGGAUCGAAGACGAUCAGAUACCGUCGUAGUCUUAACCAUAAACUAUGCCGACUAGGGAUCGGACGAAGUUAAUUUUUAAAUGACUCGUUCGGCACCUUACG